rnacentral:rRNA from 1 species
GAGUUUGAUCCUGGCUCAGGACGAACGCUGGCGGCGUGCCUAAUACAUGCAAGUAGAACGCUGAAGGAAGGAGCUUGCUCUUUCCGGAAGAGUUGCGAACGGGUGAGUAACGCGUAGGUAACCUACCUUUUAGCGGGGGAUAACUAUUGGAAACGAUAGCUAAUACCGCAUAAGACAUUUUACUGCAUGGUAAGAUGUUAAAAGAUGCAAAUGCAUCACUAAGAGAUGGACCUGCGUUGUAUUAGCUAGUAGGUGAGGUAACGGCUCACCUAGGCGACGAUACAUAGCCGACCUGAGAGGGUGAUCGGCCACACUGGGACUGAGACACGGCCCAGACUCCUACGGGAGGCAGCAGUAGGGAAUCUUCGGCAAUGGACGAAAGUCUGACCGAGCAACGCCGCGUGAGUGAAGAAGGUUUUCGGAUCGUAAAGCUCUGUUGUAAGAGAAGAACGAGUGUGAGAGUGGAAAGUUCACACUGUGACGGUAACUUACCAGAAAGGGACGGCUAACUACGUGCCUGCAGCCGCGGUAAUACGUAGGUCCCGAGCGUUGUCCGGAUUUAUUGGGCGUAAAGCGAGCGCAGGCGGUUAGAUAAGUCUGAAGUUAAAGGCUGUGGCUUAACCAUAGUACGCUUUGGAAACUGUUUAACUUUGAGUGCAGAAGGGGAGAGUGGAAUUCCAUGUGC